UACAGAGGUCUCAAGCGUUGUUCGGAUUCAUUGGGCGUAAAGGGUGCGUAGGCGGCGCGGUAAGUCGGGGUGUGAAAUCUCGGAGCUUAACUCCGAAACUGCAUUCGAUACUGCCGUGCUCGAGGACUGGAGAGGAGACUGGAAUUUACGGUGUAGCGGUGAAAUGCGUAGAUAUCGUAAGGAAGACCAGUGGCGAAGGCGGGUCUCUGGACAGUUCCUGACGCUGAGGCACGAAGGUCAGGGGAGCAAACGGG
rnacentral:rRNA from 1 species